CCUACGGGUGGCAGCAGUGGGGAAUCUUGCGCAAUGGACGAAAGUCUGACGCAGCCACGCCGCGUGAGUGAAGAAGGCCUUCGGGUUGUAAAGCUCUGUCGGAGGGGACGAAAAGCAAUUAGGUUAAUAGCCUAGUUGCCUGACGGUACCCUCAAAGGAAGCACCGGCUAACUUCGUGCCAGCAGCCGCGGUAAUACGAGGGGUGCAAGCGUUGCUCGGAAUCAUUGGGCGUAAAGGGCAGGUAGGUGGUCUUAUUUGUCUGAGGUGAAAUCCCUGGGCUUAACCCAGGAAGUGCCUCAGAAACGGUAGGACUAGAGUUCUAGAGGGGUUUGUGGAAUUCCCGGUGUAGCGGUGAAAUGCGUAGAGAUCGGGAGGAACACCAGCGGCGAAGGCGGCAAACUGGAUAGACACUGACACUCAACUGCGAAAGCGUGGGGAGCAAACAGGAUUAGAUACCCCUGUAGUC
rnacentral:rRNA from 1 species